UACGUAGGGUGCAAGCGUUGUCCGGAAUUAUUGGGCGUAAAGAGCUCGUAGGCGGUCUGUCGCGUCUGCUGUGAAAACUCAGGGCUUAACCCUGAGCUUGCAGUAGGUACGGGCAGACUAGAGUGCGGUAGGGGAGACUGGAAUUCCUGGUGUAGCGGUGAAAUGCGCAGAUAUCAGGAGGAACACCGGUGGCGAAGGCGGGUCUCUGGGCCGACACUGACGCUGAGUGCGCGAAAGCCAGGGGAGCAAACGGG
rnacentral:rRNA from 1 species